CAAUCAACAUAUAAUAAUUCAUUUAAAGCUACAUCCUAGCAAUAAUAGAAUCUAGGGCCGUGCCCUGCAACAACACCAUGGGCCCAUGCCCUGCUCUACGGGUGUUAUAGUUUUCUUACCUGUAUCCCGAGCUUUCCGAUGCACCAAGGUCACAAGCACGGUCCUCUAUCACGAGCCUCUCCAAAAUCCUAGUCACAACACAUAUAAAACACUUUUAAUACUAACCAAUCCCAAAACCACUUCCCGGGACCAAUCCCGUACUCUCGGGACCUCUAAUUCCCUAAAACAAUGUAUUGGAACCAUCCCCCGAGCCCCCGGGCAAAAGCCCUAAAAAUGUAAUAUUUGGCUGCCAAAAAUAGCCUAGGGCCGCGGUGUAACAUGCUGGCCUUGAUGGCAUGUUACAAGUUAGGAUGGUGCUCGGUCAGAUGCGCACGCGAUGGUGCAGGCUGGUGAGCAUGCUGAUGCCUAGUUUGUACGGCAGUGGCAUUUUCAUAAAUAUCUUCAAUAUUGCCCGGAAAUGGAUGGGACUUGGUAGGUUCCAUAUUGAAGGGUCAAUGAACGCAAUGGUAUGAUCGGAUUUGGGAGAUUCGGAGAAUUGGCGAGCUGGAAGCCAAAUAUGUCUCCCAAGCGAAAAUCAUAUAUGUUCCUGGUAGAAGGCUGAAAGCUCAGAAGACUCUUUGUAGGGGGAGCACCUGGUGUCAGCUCUCCACCACCCCCUAGCGCAGGUGCGUCAAGUGAGCUACUACUAGUUGGUAGGACUAGUAGGGCGGGCAUAUGAGGACCACGAGGGGACUCAUAGGUCUCCAUGAGUAGGAGUACUCAUGGACAUUAUCGGGCCGCCCCGGUAGUGCGUCGAAGUGUGCUGCCAGAGGUUUAAGGGUACGAUUCCCUUGGCUUGCCGGGAUGCCGCUUGCAUGGAACGUGGCCCAAACCUUCGAGAGAUGUCGUGGUGCGCCAUGGCCACGAAUCUUGACACGAGAUGGCACGGGAAGUCAUUCGUGGGACUUGUUAGCAUGCAAGCAUUGGAGGGUGCACUAUGCUUGAGUAGGACAGAGGUCCAGUGUGUGCUACUAGUCUGGCAGCCAGUCCCGAUGGCCUGCCAACAUGCACGAUGGUAUGGUGCCUUGAGGAUUGGACCAUGGACGUAUGGGAGUCCUUGGUUUGUGACGUGAACUAAUCGGAUAGUAUCGAAUGGGACAUGAUGGGAGGUGUUGGCAUGUCAGCUUGGUGGGCUCUUAGCCACACAUGCUACCUUGACUUGCGAAUGUCUGGGUGAGCAUCGGUGUUGGGAUUUGCCUUGCCAUAGUGAGAACCUAUGGACAGUGUGAGUGUCUUGGCUAGAUAGCCUUGAUGCAUGAUUGCACUCAUAGAUGCUGAAGAGCAUGACUCGACGAGAGUUGUUCGAGAGACGGAAGUGUGCAGAGGCACACGGUCGCGCGAAAAAUGUGCCCAUUGUUAUUCGAAAGGUUGGAAGGCUGACCUUGGCUCAGAGGAGUCAAGGUGCCGCACGGGCAUUUCUGCUGUCAAAAUGUCAGCCCGUGACACGCGGCACUCCCAUCAAGGGCCACGGCGCCCAUAAGCUUUCCCCUAAUCCUGAUGCAUGCUUGCGCCGCGACACCAAAGAAUAGGGCCGCAGCGCCCCUACGCGAACCCAGAUUUCUGGGUUUUCCCCCUGCAUUUUCCCGAGCCAAAACAACUCCAAUUCAAUCCAAACAAGUACCUAAGCCCCAAAAUCAAUUUAAAACCCCAAAUGAACCUUUUAACAACCUAUAAACAUAAAAAACAAACUCAAUUACACAAUCAUACUCAAAAUCCAUUCUUGAGUUUCAAAUUCCUGAAACUUAAACCAUGGCUUCCAAGACCUAAAUCAGAGCUUGAAAUCUAUAAAUCAUGCCUCUAAAAUCUUAAACCACACCAGAUACGAAAAUUAAACAUGCUAAGGAUUCAUACCUCAAUCAAAACUCAGCUUGAACUCCUCUCAAUUUCAGCCUCCAACCUCUUUCCUCUUGAUUAUUCUAACUGAAUUUCCAAGUAAAACCAGCCAUAUUUCCUUUAGGUUCCCACACUCAAUCUUUGAAAAUUCAAACUUAAAUUUAACAAAAACAGAGCACAAUUCUUACCUUUGAACAAUCCUAGCUUAAAUCUGGUUUUGGUUGCCUCAAACUCCUUUGAAUUUCCUCCUAGGUUUCAAGUUCCAGCCCUCCUUCUUGCUUCCCUUUCUUUCUAGCCUUUUCUUCCAAUUUUCAGCUUAAACCAAUAUAUGACCAAGUGUUAUACGUGAACCAUCCUUCCCUUCAGCUCAAACUUAUCUACCCUUAGCCAAUUGACCAUUCUAUCCUUCCCUAGAAAUUCUCUCCUAACUAAACCUCAAGGGCACUCUUGUCCUUUCACCUAUAUUACAAUUCUACCAUUUUUCCAUCUGAACUUGUUACUCUCAGCAGUUACUAAUGGACUUGGCCCCGGGAAGUGGUUUUGGGAUUGGUUAGUAUUAAAAGUGUUUUAUAUGUGUUGUGACUAGGAUUUUGGAGAGGCUCGUGAUAGAGGACCGUGCUUGUGACCUUGGUGCAUCGGAAAGCUCAGGAUACAGCAGAAUGAACGGCAAAGGGCAGAGAACGGCGAAGGUCGAGAACGGUAGUGGGGCCGGGAAUACCACUUAGCACAUGGAGUGCUUGUGGUUAGGGUGAGACCCCAAUGGAUACAUGGGAUAUCCUUACGGUGUAGACCGAGAUCCCAGGCUUUGGCAAUGCUUCUGGGACGGCAUGGCCGUAUAUGUGUUUAAAUCUUAUGGACUGUUUGAUUAGAUAUGAGUUAUCUGCUAUAAUGAUUGUAUGAUAUGCAUAUGUUAUGUGCUGUAUGAGUCUUCUUGCUGGGCUUCGGCUCACGAGUGCUCUGUGUUGCAGGUAAGGGCAAAGAGAAAGUCAACCAGCCAUGAGUACGGAGAGCGUGGGGGCGGCGCGUACAUGUUUGGCCUGCCCGACUGCUUUGGUUGGGGGCAUUUUGAGAAAUGGUUGUACUAAACUGUGUUUUGAUAAUUGGUCAUCUGUAAAUCUAUUUUGAAUUGUAAAUAUUUUACAAACCUCGUUUUGGGAUCCCAAAUGUUAAACUUUUGGAACUUUUAGUGAAAUGGAGUACUUUUAAAGAUUACA